rnacentral:rRNA from 1 species
GCCAGCAGCCGCGGUAAAACGUAGGGGGCCAGCGUUGCUCGGAAUUACUGGGCGUAAAGGGUCCGUAGGCGGUGUGGCAAGUCGGAAGUGAAAUCUCUGGGCUUAACUCAGAGGCUGCUUCCGAGACUGCUGUGCUAGAGUGUGAGAGAGGCAAGUGGAAUUGCGGGUGUAGCGGUGAAAUGCGUAGAUAUCCGCAGGAACAUCCGAGGCGAAAGCGGCUUGCUGGAUCACAACUGACGCUGAGGGACGAAAGCUAGGGGAGCAAACAGGAUUAGAUACCCUGGUAGUCCUAGCCCUAAACCAUCAGGACUUGGGGUUUGCCCUGUACGGGGCAAGUCCCGUAGCUAACGCGUUAAGUCCUGCGCCUGGGGAGUACGGUCGCAAGGCUGAAACUCAAGGGAAUUGACGGGGGCCCGCACAAGCGGUGGAACUUGUGGUUCAAUUCGACGCAACGCGAAGAACCUUACCUGGGCUUGAACCGCACAGGACCAACCUAAGAAAUUAGGUCUUCUCGCAAGAGACCUGUGUAGAGGUGCUGCAUGGCUGUCGUCAGCUCGUGCCGUGAGGUGUUGGGUUGAGUCCCGCAACGAGCGCAACCCUUACUCAUAGUUGCCACCCGCAAGGGGGAACUCUAUGAGGACUGCUCC